rnacentral:lncRNA from 1 species
UCCCAGAAAUGGUCGGGAGUCUAGAGGAGCCUGUCCCAAUGCCAGCGAUCUGUUCACUGGUGCAGGAAGUCCAUUCAGCCUGCAUUACUUUUAAUGCAUUUUGCAAGCAAGUGGCCUCUUCCUGUGACUCACUCCGCCUUUUGUGCACCGGAGGUUGUGGUUGGAAGUUUCACUUCGGAAAGUAACCACCAGUGCUGCCACUUUCUCCCGAGGCUGGAACCCCAACAAGUCACAUUCAUUUUGCAACAAAGAAAUGUAAAUGGAGGUGCAGCCAGUCGUGUUUCUGCUCCGAUUGUAAAAACAUCCUUUUCUGAGAUGGUCUGCAGAGCCAAGCUGAGAAGAAAUGGUUUAUAUUUUUCAAGUAACCCAUUCAUUUCAGCGACUUGUGCUUUCUUUCCAGAAUGUUCUUUGUCAUCUUGAUCCAUUUUUUUGGGGGGGGUUAUCUAAAAAUACAAACAAAGGAAACCAAAAAAAAAAAAAAAAA